GCCAGCUACCGCUGACGCGACAGAACGCCACAUGGCCCCCGCUGAACCCGUCGCAAGGUCGCCCCCGCCAGCGGCGCCAGAGGCUGCAACCCCGUGAAGGGGGCUGUUACUGACUGGGACGGAGAAGUACAUGCUACUGCUCCCCGACGCCGCGGUGCUGCCGGCGCUCGUCCCUUGUGUGUCGGUGCUCAUGCCGCGGGUGUGCAUGGCGGCCGGGGGAACUGUGCCGUGUGAACCGGGAGCUAGCGGCGGCAACCCCGGCGGUGAUGAUGAUGGUGCUACAGGUGCCUGGAUAUUCAUCAAAAAUGGUGAUGCGCAUCUAUUUUCAUCAAGUAAUAGUCAAGGCAGGAAGGAAAAGGCAUAAAAAGAUGCAUUCCGAGUAUGUAGUACUGAAUCCGCAAACCCGAAGUCCCGGCCAGUCCUCCCUACAGCCAUCUACUUCAGCCUCUUGGCCUCUCCCGACCUCUCGGCCAGAAGCACUGUCGUCAGACAGACAGAUAGAUAGACAGACAGACAGACAGACAGACAGACAGACACACACACACGCGGCCACUGGUCGCCUGCACGUACCUUGUUCCCCAUGUCGAAGGUCAGCUCGUACAUCUCCGCCAGUGUCGCCCUGUGCAUGUUCCACCAGGCCUGGCCUUGAGACUGCUCCGUGAACAUCUUGCGAUUGAAGCGAACCUUGACCAGCCGAACCGGGCCGCCUUUUUGUGCCGGUGGCUUCAACGUGAUGUAGACGCCCUGCUCAGCAGUUCGUCAGCAGUUCGCCAUGCAUGUGGUGGUUUGGGGUAAGUGGAUGGGGUAUGUGGCGGUAAGCAAUCACGGGGCGAGCAGGUAGCCAUUGAGACGCGUGAAGGCGGCGGGGUGGUAUCCUUUUCCCUCGCACGCGUGUGUGGAUGGAUAGAAGUGGAUUCGAGCAGUGGUUACUCAACACACAGCCGCAUCCCGCUGGUACGCCUCCGACCAACCCGCAGCGAGCCCAGGCAGCAUGCGGGUGCCAGUGUCACCUGGCCUUGCAAACCAUACACGGCGCCACACACCUAUGCAUGGUGGUGGAAGAUGCAGCGCGUCUACUGCCUCCAAUCCUACCGAGCUGUCAUGGACUCCCGAGCAACCAGCCAACCGACAGACCGACAGACUGACAGACCGACCAGCAACUAAUCCGUGCUCCCCACCAAGGGCACCCUCCAAGGCCUCCUACCGGCGCAUACUGGAACUGCACACCCUCCGGUGGCAGCGUGUCCGCCGCAAGCGCCAAGGGAACAUUGUAGCCCGAUGAUGAUGACGCGUGCUGCUCUGUGCCGCCUGCCCCGCCUGCCAUCGUGUUGCCAUGUCCAGGCAUACCUCCGCCAGGGACACCACUGCCGCUACCGUUGCCACUGCCACUGCCACCGCCACCGCCACCACUCGCGCUGCUUCCGCCAGGCGGCUGCUCUUCAACCACCAUUUCGUGAUGCAUCGUGUUCGCCCACUCUACAAACGCGUUUCGCCGCCGCCAGAUCGGGGCCCCGCCCCCCCCCCCGCCCCGGGCCCCACCCUUGCCCCCGCCCCCGCCAACACCAGCGGAGGCGGCAGCAGCGGCCAGGCUGCCGUUUGCUUCCUGCACGGCGGGGAAAGCUGGUACGGGCCCAGACGCCGGCCCCGCAGCGCUCUCCAAGCACCCACUGCCCUCACCACUGGUAGACGAAGGGUAGGAGGUCUCGGAGGUGGGGCGGACCAGGCCGUCUUUGGUCGGAGACGGAAUGGAACUUAGAGACGGCUCGUUCGAGUACUGUGGCUGUGGGAUAAAGAAGAACGGGCGCGGGACAAGAGCAACGGGCCAUGAAAUCAGCAUUAGCCGUCAAAUGGUUACAGUCUAUACACUCUGUCAAUAUCGCUGCAACGGUAUGCGAUGGGUACGGUACGACAGCUAGUGAGGCAACGAGAGAAGGUAACCGUCGCGCAGUGCUUUAGCUCACCUCGUAUGGGACAUGGCCAAUGUGGUUUGGAGGACUGCAGCCCGCCGCUGGUGCCUGCUGCUGGGGCUGCUGGGGCUGCGUGGGCGUCAUCGUCAGCGGCGGCCGCUGCUGCUGUGACACGUACAUCUGCCGAUGCAGGGAGCCCUGCGCCGCCAGCGGCAGGGCCACAGACAAGAUGACGGAGCCCAGCCUAUCAAUGCCGGCUGCGGAAUUCAACGACUCGUCCACGGCCGGCUCCAUCUCCCCCCCGUCGCCGUCCUCGUCGUCUUCAGGCUCCUCGUCGUCCUCAUCAUACCCCUCUUCCAACACCUCCUCCUCAAACUCCGCCAAAGCCUAAGACAUGACAGUCGGCAUGUUAAUAGGAAGCGUGCAUUAGAAGAAGACAGGGCAGGGCGUGAGGGAAGGCCAUGCGAAACACAUCUAAGCGAUGAACCCCCAACGCUGUGUCCGAGGACGGGGGACACCGUUCUUCUCCGCUACCGUUGCAUGCAGGUGCAUGCAGGUUACCUGAUGUCAAAUAUUCCUUACCACGCAGAAGGAAGGCAGCCACGUCGGAAUUGAAACGCGGGAAUAUUCCUCAAUCCCCCAGCUUUUGUGGUAACACAGAGCGCAAUAACAUUUUAGCAAUGCCACACCCUGCCACCACGCGCUCGACUCCUUGACUAUUNNNNNNNNNNNNNNNNNNNNNNNNNNNNNNNNNNNNNNNNNNNNNNNNNNCCCAUAGUCCCCACAGGUGGCGGCGGCGGCAACACCAUCAUGGCCUGGCUGUCGUAGUUCAGCUCAGUCCAAGUCAUAUCGAAAUCGCCGCCGCCGGCGCCACCACCGCCACCGCCGCCGCCAGCUACCGCUGACGCGACAGAACGCCACAUGGCCCCCGCUGAACCCGUCGCAAGGUCGCCCCCGCCAGCGGCGCCAGAGGCUGCAACCCCGUGAAGGGGGCUGUUACUGACUGGGACGGAGAAGUACAUGCUACUGCUCCCCGACGCCGCGGUGCUGCCGGCGCUCGUCCCUUGUGUGUCGGUGCUCAUGCCGCGGGUGUGCAUGGCGGCCGGGGGAACUGUGCCGUGUGAACCGGGAGCUAGCGGCGGCAACCCCGGCGGUGAUGAUGAUGGUGCUACAGGU
rnacentral:lncRNA from 1 species